rnacentral:rRNA from 1 species
GUGCCAGCCGCCGCGGUAAUACCGGCAGCUCAAGUGAUGUCCAAUAUUAUUGGGCCUAAAGCGUCCGUAGCUGGCCGCGCAAGUCCGUCGGGAAAUCCACUCGCUCAACGAGUGGCCGUCCGGUGGAAACUCCACACCUUGGGACCGGAAGGCUCGAAGGGUACGUUCGGGGUAGGAGUGAAAUCCCAUAAUCCCGCACGGACCACCGAUGGCGAAAGCACUUCGAGAAAACGGAUCCGACAGUGAGGGACGAAAGCCAGGGUCUCCAACCGGAUUAGAAACCCCUGUAGUCC